AGAGUUCAGUUCGGAUCUAAAAAAUUCGUAGGUUCGGCAGAAACCAAACCCUGUCAAAAAGCCCAAUAUUCGGCCGAAGCCAAACCCAAAUCCUGGAUUUGGUGCAUCACAACU